rnacentral:rRNA from 1 species
UUGAAAGGGAAACGAUUGAAGUCAGUCAUGCUGGUGGGAAUCAACUUAGGGGAAACUCUAGGUGCACUUCUUCGCUUGGCAGGUUAACGUCGAUCUUGAAUGCCAUAAAAUAAUUGGGGGAAGGUAGCUCCUUCGGGAGUGUUAUAGCCCUUGAUAGAUGUGAUGUUUGGGGUCGAGGAUUGCAACGGAUACCUUUGGGGCUAGCCGCCUGAUCUCUAAUCGGUGUUGGGUUACGGAUAGCAUGCUGACCGUGAUCUAAUUACUGGUUAAAUGGUUAGAGCGUGCAUAAAUUCGUUAAGGAUGUUGACGUA